rnacentral:RNase_P_RNA from 1 species
GAAGAUAGCCGGAUGAUCGCUGGCCGCAAGGCUGGAGGAAAGUCCGGACUCCAAGGGCAGGGCGCUGGGUAACACCCAGGCGGAGCGAUCCGACACAAGCGCAACAGAGAACAGACCGCCGAUGGCCGGCCGCCAAACAUGUGUUGAUGGCCGGAUCAGGUAAGGGUGAAACGGUGGGGUAAGAGCCCACCGCGUUCGUGGUGACACGGACGGCACGGCAAGCGUCGCCCGGAGCAAGACCAAAUAGGGGGACAUCCGAGGCUCAACCAUAUGGGAGUCUCGGACCGGCCGGCCCGGCCGAGUCCUCGGGUAGGUCGCACGAGGUUCGGGGUAACUCGAGCCCCAGAGAAAUGAUCAUCCACGCCACAAGCGGGACAGAAUCCGGCUUAUAGGCUGUCUCCACCG